rnacentral:rRNA from 1 species
UGGGGAAUAUUGCACAAUGGGCGCAAGCCUGAUGCAGCCAUGCCGCGUGUAUGAAGAAGGCCUUCGGGUUGUAAAGUACUUUCAGCAGUGAGGAAGGUGGAUGUGUUAAUAGCGCAUUCAUUUGACGUUAGCUGCAGAAGAAGCACCGGCUAACUCCGUGCCAGCAGCCGCGGUAAUACGGAGGGUGCGAGCGUUAAUCGGAAUUACUGGGCGUAAAGCGCAUGCAGGUGGUUUGUUAAGUCAGAUGUGAAAGCCCGGGGCUCAACCUCGGAAUUGCAUUUGAAACUGGCAGACUAGAGUACUGUAGAGGGGGGUAGAAUUUCAGGUGUAGCGGUGAAAUGCGUAGAGAUCUGAAGGAAUACCGGUGGCGAAGGCGGCCCCCUGGACAGAUACUGACACUCAGAUGCGAAAGCGUGGGGAGCAAACAGGAUUAGAUACCCCCGUAGUCC